GUGCUUGUUUUGGCAGGACGUAUACUAAAAUUGGAACGAUACAGAGAAGGAUAGCUCGGCACCUUCGCAAAGGAUGACACGCAAAUUUGUGAGGCGCUCCAUAUUUUU